UAUCAGCCGCUAUCAAUGAUGACCUCACCGUU
rnacentral:piRNA from 1 species